rnacentral:rRNA from 1 species
GACGAACGCUGGCGGCGCGCUUAACACAUGCCAGUCGAACGGAAAGGCCUGCUUUCCCUUGUGGAUUGCGGGUACUCGAGUGGCGAACGGGUGAGUAACACGUGAGUGAUCUGCCCCCAACUUGGGUAUAAGCCUGGGAAACUGGGUCUAAUUCCCGAUAGGACUGCAGGGUGGUGCCUGUGGUGGAAAACGAUUUUCUAGUGGUUGGGGAUGAGCUCGCGGCCUAUCAGCUUGUUGGUGGGGUAAUGGCCUACCAAGGCGGCGACGGGUAGCCGGCCUGAGAGGGUGGACGGCCACAUUGGGACUGAGAUACGGCCCAGACUCCUACGGGAGGCAGCAGUGGGGAAUAUUGCACAAUGGGCGGAAGCCUGAUGCAGCGACGCCGCGUGGGGGAUGACGGCCUUCGGGUUGUAAACUCCUUUCGACCGCGAGGAAGCCACCUGGCUGGAAGGGUGGUGACGGUAGUGGUAGAAGAAGCACCGGCUAACUACGUG